AAUCUUUAUUCAUUAGGGGAAGGUUCUACCACAUCAUACCCGAAUCUUGAAUUGUACGAUGGUUUGGGUAAGUCCUUCACCGUUGGAGCAUUCAAGCUAGUGAAGGAGGCAGAAAAGAGGACAAAUUAAAGUUUGCUGAGCAAUCAGCUGUGAGUUAUAAAAACUAUAAAAUCUCCAAGAAGCCGGUUUGUGCUCAUCCUGAGAAUCCGUUUCCUGGCGAUGCUUCACACUUCCAAGGAUUGGAGCCCAGAGACAGGUCAACUCUAAGGUCGCUGUGAUUCUUCAAGAAUGGCCAAAAUGACAGCGAGAAUGGCUCACAAGUCCUGGCUCAGCACAGGUCAGAGCUCCAUGACCAUGCCUGUGAGACAGAGAAUCUGACACCUCACAGUGUCCUUGUGAAGACAACGUCAGGGCACAGCCAACCGCAUCCUGAGGGCUGAAGGCAGCCGUGGUCGACUUUUGUAUGUCCACCGAAUAAAAUGGAUUUUCUAUUUUAGAUCCUUGCAAAAGGAAAACAACAAUUCAAUGGACGUUUUUGUUUGUUAGUUUGU